GUUGUAUAGUCAAGUAAUUAAGUGCAUGUGGUGGAUGCCUUGGCAGUCAGAGGCGAUGAAAGACGUGAUAGCCUGCGAAAAGCUCCGGGGAGGCGGCAAAUAUCCUUUGAUCCGGAGAUGUCUGAAUGGGGGAACCCACCUACUUUAAGGUAGGUAUUGCAACAUGAAUACAUAGUGUUGCAAGGCGAACGAGGGGAAGUGAAACAUCUCAGUACCCUUAGGAAAAGAAAUCAAUUGAGAUUCCCUCAGUAGCGGCGAGCGAACGGGGAUCAGCCCAUUAAGUUAUGUGUGUUUUAGUGGAACGCUCUGGGAAGUGCGAACGUAGAGGGUGAUAUUCCCGUACACGAAAGGGCACACAUAAUGAUGACGAGUAGGGCGAGGCACGUGAAACCUUGUCUGAAUAUGGGGGGACCAUCCUCCAAGGCUAAAUACUCCUGACUGACCGAUAG
rnacentral:rRNA from 1 species